rnacentral:rRNA from 1 species
CCUACGGGUGGCAGCAGUGAUGAAUAUUGGUCAUUGGCCGGAAGGCUGAACCAGCCAAGUCGCGUGAGGGAAUAAGGCCCUAUGGGUCGUCAACCUCUUUUGUCAGGGAGCAAAGGCGUCCACGUAUGGACGAGAGGAGCGUACCUGAAGACAAAGCAUCGGCUAACUCCGUGCCAGCAGGCGCGGUACUACGGAGGAUGCGAGCGUUAUCCGGAUUUAUUUGGUUUAAAGGAUGCGUAGGCGGAGUGUCAAGUCAGCGGUAAAAUUUCGGGGCCCAACCCCGUCGUGCCGUUGAAACUGACGCCCUUGAGUGAGUGAGAAGUAAGCGGAAUGCGUGGUGUAGCGGUGAAAUGCAUAGAUAUCACGCAGAACUCCGAUUGCGAAGGCAGCAUACCGGCGCCCAACUGACGCUCAGGCACGAAAGCGUGGGUAUCGAACAGGAUUAGAUACCCGGGUAGUC